rnacentral:piRNA from 1 species
UGAAAUGGGUAGGAAUAGAAUUUUGUGAUU